rnacentral:rRNA from 1 species
AUCCGACCUCAGAUCGGGCGAGAUUACCC